AUAGCCGCAUUUCGUGCUAAGGUAGCAUAAUCAUUUGCCUUUUAAAUAAAGGCUAGAACAAAAGACCUAACAUUUUAAUUUAUUUAUUUCACUUAAUUAAUUAAAAUUAUCUUAAAAGUAAUAAGACUUUUAUUUAUAAGUAAGACGAUAAGACCCUAUAGAACUUUACUUCAGUUUAACUGGGGAAGUUUAUAAAUUAUAAUUUUUAUCAAAUAAAAAUACUAAAUAUCCUAUAUYUUAGAUAAUCAAGUUACCUUAGGGAUAACAGCGCAAUUAUAUUUCUAAAGCUCUUAUUUAAAAAAUAGAUUACGACCUCGAUGUUGAAUUAAUAACCUAAAUAUAGAAAAUUAUAUUAAAGGAAGUCUGUUCGACUUUUAAAUAAUUACAUGAUUUGAGUUCAGACCGGUAUAAGCCAGGUCGGCUUCUAUCUUUUACAAAAAUUUUUACAGUACGAAAGGACCUAAAACCUUGAUAUAAUAUCAAUUAUAUUGGCAGAUAAAUGCAUUAGAAUUAGAAUCUAAUAAAACUAAA
rnacentral:rRNA from 1 species